UUCCUGCUGCCACGAGAAGAAGGAUGUGUUUGCUUCCCCUUUUGCCACGACCGACCGACCAUAAGUUUCCUGAGGCCACCCCAGACCUGCAGAAUUGGAUACUGGUUGUAGGAGAGCUGCCCAGUGUUUCUUCUCCUCCCACACACCCAGUUUUAAUGGAGUACUUAGAACCCUAUAUGGCUUGGGACCUAUCUGAUUCAUUGAGGUUGACAUCAUGGAGGACACUAUACUCUCUCACAAAGAUGUGUACCUUCUUGAAGGGCUCACUAAAAAAACCAGAGUCUUCCACCUCCAGGCUCACUGCAAUUGAUGCAUAGAUAAAACAAAUGUCGGAUAGCCAUCCAAUGGAUUAGUAUGCCGCCAUAAAAAGGAAGCACUCACUACUGAUACAAGCUUCAGUGUGGAUGAAGACUGACAAUAUUGUUCAUUGAAAGACACCAGACACAAAAGAUCAUAUAUUGCAUGAUUCCAUUUCUAUAAAAUGUCCAGAAUAUGCAAAUCCAUAGAGACAGAAAAUCACUUAGUGGUUGGGAGGAAAUGGGGGAAGGUGAGAAUGCGGAGUGACUGCUAAUGGGUUUCUUUUUGGGGUAAUGAUAAUACUCUUGAAUUAGACAGUGGUAAGGAUUAAACAAACUUGUGAAUAUAUUAAAAACUUGCAUUGUGUACUUUCAAAGGGUGAAUUUUAUGGAAUGUGGAUAUCUCACUUUUUUUUAAAAUGAAAGAAUGAAAAAAGGUGGCUUCUGUCUCAUCUGGACUCCUACAAUUUUUUUUUUUUUGAGACGGAGUUUCGCAAAUUUAAUUAUUGAUAAAUAUACCUGAGAGAUCACUGCUUGCCAGCCCUGUACUGGCACUGAGUUACAUAAAGGAAUAAGACCGUCCGGGCGUGGUGGCUUACACCUGUAAUCCCAGAACUUUGGGGUGCCGAUGUGGGUGGAUUGCUUGAGCUUAGGAGUUUGAGACCAGUCUGGACAACAUGGUGAAACUCCGUCUCUAUCAAAAAAUACAAAAAAUUAGCUGGGUGUGGUGGUGUGGGUCUGUGGUCCCAACUACUCAGCUAACUUGGGAGACUGAGGUGGGAGGAUUGCUUCAGCUUGGGAGGAGGAGGUUGCAGUGAAUCGAGAUUAUGCCACUGCACUCCAGCCUGGGUGACAGGGUGAGAUUCGUCUCAAAAAAAAAAAAAAAAAAGGAAUAAAACCCAAGCCCGCACACACUUCAUAGGCUAAAGGGAGACAAAUAAGUAAAUGUUCUAUUAUAACCAAGGGUGAGCUGGGUGCGAUGGCCCAUGUCUCUAAUCCCAGCACUUUGGGAGGCUGAGGCUGGCAGAUCACCUGAGAUCGAGAGUUCGAGACCAGCCUGACCAACAUGGAGAAACCCCAUCUUGACUAAAGAUGCAAA
rnacentral:lncRNA from 1 species